ensembl:lncRNA
UUCAACCCAGGCCAUUCUAUGAUAUGAUAUGAUUCUAUGAUUCUAUGACUGUUUCUUAUCCACGAUAAUAAAAACUAAACUAAAAAACGUGUAAUUUUAUAAUAUGCUUGAGCUAGAGCAUAUUAAUUAUUAGACUAUUACUACGUAAUUGGGUCUGACUGCUGUUUAAAAUACAGUAGAAAGGAUUAGCAUUGUAAAAUGUUGACUGGAUAUGUUACGAUUCUAAAACAAGGCAGACAGCCUUUGUGCUGGUCAGUAUUUUAAGCUGAAUUAUACUGUUUGACUGAUACAACACAGGGAGGAAUGUUUAAAAGAAGCCAACAACACUCACACAGGAAAAGAAAAACACCACUGUCUGCAGUUCAGAAACUAAUAAUGCUGUCCUAUAAAAUAAUCAUCUAGUUCAGUCUAAGUAAACACAACCAAGAAUCACAUCCACUGCUUGUAUUUUACACUUAGCUACUCUCUCAUAUCAGAUGAAGAGGUACCACAAAGUCUAUUUUAAGAAGAAUUGCUUCUUUCUAUGUAAAUUCCUGCUCACCAGUGAUUACUGACAAACAGUCCACUGGGGAGGCUGAAAUAAUUAAAUAAACCAUUUAGAAGCCGAUGUAGAAACAGUGAUUGCUCUAGCUCAGCUCACCAGGCUCUUAAGAUACAGAGCUCCUUGCCAGCUUAACAACAGAUUUGGAAAUACCUGGAGUUUCCCACACCUGUAAUAAGCUAGUAAGGUCAGAAGUGGUAAAUGGUGGAAAGACAUUUAGUAAAGAACAGCUUCUGUUACUAAUCCAAGCGUUGUCCCUGCGCUGCAGGUAUAGCAAGAGGACUAUAAUCAGUAUGUUGUGCUAGCGUAAUGUGUACCUAUUUAAUGCAACGAUACCAACUUCAGUGACUUGCUUUGAAACUAAUACUUCCAGUAACUUUUUGAACUGAGUCCUUCUUAUCUCUGAAUUUCUGUUGUUUUUGUUUGCUUGUUUGCUUAUUUGUUUGUUUUUCUAAUCUCUGACCUGCUGGUUGCUAAAUAAAAUAGCCCUUCACUGUUGCUGACACAGUGGUUGCAGGGCUUAC